rnacentral:rRNA from 1 species
UGAAGAACGCAGCUAAUUCCGUGACGCAAUGUGAACUGCAGGACACAUGAACAUCGACAAUUUG